AGGCUUCUUGGACCUAGGGGGUGUAUUUCAUUGAUGUUGAGGUAGAGUGUGAGAAGGGUGAGGUGUU
rnacentral:tRNA from 1 species